GAAGAGCAAAGAAAGGAGGAAGAGAGAAUAAAAGAAAGAGAAGAAAAGGAAGAAAUUGAAAGAAAAAAAGUGGAAGAAAGUGAUCAAGAGAAACUAAGAGAAAUAUCUCCUACAACCACAAUGGAAUCAAAACUCUAAAGGGGAGGUUUUCUAUCCUUUCACUUUUCUUCAUUUAGUUUUGAAAGUCCAAAAUCUCACUUUUCUUUCCAAGAAUUUGC
rnacentral:lncRNA from 1 species